GAGAAUCUUCGGCAAUGGGCGCAAGCCUGACCGAGCGACGCCGCGUGGAGGACGAAGGCCUUCGGGUUGUAAACUCCUGUCGAGGGGGAACAAGGUGCCGUGAAGAGCGGCGCUUGAGUGAUCCCUGGAGGAAGCACGGGCUAAGUUCGUGCCAGCAGCCGCGGUAAGACGAACCGUGCGAACGUUAUUCGGAAUCACUGGGCUUAAAGCGCGUGUAGGCGGCCCGGCACGUCCGUCGCUGAAAUCCCCCGGCUCAACCGGGGAAGUGGCGUGGAUACGACCGGGCUGGAGGGGGGUAGGGGGAGCCGGAACUUCCGGUGGAGCGGUGAAAUGCGUUGAGAUCGGAAGGAACGCCCGUGGCGAAAGCGGGCUCCUGGACCCCACCUGACGCUGAGACGCGAAAGCCAGGGGAGCGAA
rnacentral:rRNA from 1 species